UAAGGGCGCACGGUGGAUGCCUUGGCACUAGAAGCCGAUGAAGGACGUUACUAACGACGAUAUGCUUUGGGGAGCUGUAAGUAAGCUUUGAUCCAGAGAUUUCCGAAUGGGGAAACCCAGCAUGAGUUAUGUCAUGUUAUCGAUAUGUGAAUACAUAGCAUAUCAGAAGGCACACCCGGAGAACUGAAACAUCUUAGUACCCGGAGGAAGAGAAAGAAAAUUCGAUUCCCUUAGUAGCGGCGAGCGAAACGGGA
rnacentral:rRNA from 1 species